rnacentral:rRNA from 1 species
AGAGGUGGCAAGCGUUGUUCGGAAUUACUGGGCGUAAAGGGCGCGUAGGCGGUCCUUCAAGUCCCGCGUGAAAUCCCCCGGCUCAACUGGGGAACUGCGCGGGAAACUGUAGGGCUUGAGUUCGGGAGAGGGAAGCGGAAUUCCGGGUGUAGCGGUGAAAUGCGUAGAUAUCCGGAGGAACACCGGUGGCGAAGGCGGCUUCCUGGACCGACACUGACGCUGAGGCGCGAAAGCUAGGGGAGCAAACGGGAUUAGAUACCCCGGUAGUCCUAGCUGUAAACGAUGAGCGCUGGGUGUAGGGGGUAUUAACCCCCCCUGUGCCGAAGCUAACGCAUUAAGCGCUCCGCCUGGGGAGUACGGUCGCAAGGCUG